UCGGUGAGCCUCAACUUGCUCAUCCGACCACCGCACUGCCUAAAAGGGAACCCGACUAGUCAAAUAUCCCGGUUAACUCAAGCGGAGAAAUCAAAUUCGACAGGCCAUCUGCUUGUUUAAACCUCGGUCUACAAUAAGCAACAUGUUAUUUUCCUACCUUAGAAACGGGUGUUUUUUUAAAAAUAUUUAUAAACAUUUUUGUGUUAUUUCCAAUAUCCAUAGUGUAGAUUAGACGGGCAUUGUAAAAUGAAAAAAUGUGCGUUGAUCGACGUCCAUACGAAAUCUGUCCCGGACGUCGAAACUGAAGAGGAACGAUGGGGUGCGCACCUUAAACAACUUGAAACCGCCCUAAAGGAAUUCAGGGACGCGAAACGAAACGCGCUGGAACUCGGCGAAGAGACACUUUUUCCUAUUGAAGUGUCCAGGUGGAGAGUGGAAUGGUGCAAAAGACCCAACCAAUACCGGCUGGAUUUGUCUGGAAUAUCGGAAGGCCUUCCAGCUAUAAUUGAAGGAGACGAAUCCGAAGAAACCGUGCCACGUGCCUUUUUAGAUUGCUUCUCCCAGGGGAAAGACUAUAAGAAGACAAAACGUGCUGAAAACAUCGGGGUCCACAAGACCGACCACCCCCCGGAAGAAUUCACCGGCGAGGGGCCGAUCAAAGAGGUAGACCAGGAGAAAAGAAAGGCCCAUGCUCUUCAAAACGGGGAUGUCGGAUCCAAACUAGAUCCAAACAUUGAUAUUAAGGACCUAAAGAAAACAGAUAGUUGCUUGUCAUCGCCGGUGUACAUCAAAUCGGGAAAUGACGACCACGAGCACAAAAAGACCUUCUGGACCAAGCUGAGAAGCAAGUUGCACAUAAAUCAUGAUAGCAGUUAGGUAAACAAUUGCUAUAAAACAGAAACGUUUUGAAGAGAAAACCUGAGCACUACGAGUUGGUUUUGCCGGCAGAAACUUCAUUUUUAGAGACGUGUAAUAAUGGGAUACUCUAUUAACGAUGAUUUUCCAUUGCCUGAUUGUAACCUAAUAAAUCAUUGAAAGGCUAAA